GAUGAACGCUAGCUACAGGCUUAACACAUGCAAGUCGAGGGGCAGCAUGAUUGAAGCUUGCUUCAAUCGAUGGCGACCGGCGCACGGGUGAGUAACACGUAUCCAACCUGCCGAUAACUCGGGGAUAGCCUUUCGAAAGAAAGAUUAAUACCCGAUAGUAUAGUAUUUCCGCAUGGUUUCACUAUUAAAGAACUUCGGUUAUCGAUGGGGAUGCGUUCCAUUAGAUAGUUGGCGGGGUAACGGCCCACCAAGUCAACGAUGGAUAGGGGUUCUGAGAGGAAGGUCCCCCACAUUGGAACUGAGACACGGUCCAAACUCCUACGGGAGGCAGCAGUGUGGAAUAUUGGUCAAUGGACGAGAGUCUGAACCAGCCAAGUAGCGUGAAGGAUGACUGCCCUAUGGGUUGUAAACUUCUUUUAUACGGGAAUAAAGUGGAGUAUGCAUACUCCUUUGUAUGUACCGUAUGAAUAAGGAUCGGCUAACUCCGUG
rnacentral:rRNA from 1 species